rnacentral:rRNA from 1 species
GAUAAACGCUGGCGGCGUGCAUGAGACAUGCAAGUCGAACGAAGGAUCGGGCUUGCUCGAUCCUUAGUGGCGGACGGCUGAGUAACGCGUAGGUGACCUACCCCGAAGUGGGGAAUAACUGCCCGAAAGGGUGGCUAAUACCGCAUGUGGUCGCACGUUCAUUCGUGCGAGUAAAGCCGCAAGGCGCUUCGGGAGGGGCCUGCGUCCGAUUAGCUCGUUGGUGGGGUAAUGGCUUACCAAGGCGACGAUCGGUGGGUGGUCCGAGAGGACGAUCACCCAGACUGGGACUGAGACACGGCCCAGACUCCUACGGGAGGCAGCAGUCGGGAAUUUUGCUCAAUGGGGGAAACCCUGAAGCAGCAACGCCGCGUGAGGGAUGAAGGCCUUCGGGUUGUAAACCUCUUUUGUCAGGGACGAUGAUGACGGUACCUGGCGAAUAAGCCACGGCUAACUACGUG